UGUUAAUAUGGUGUAUCACAUUGAUUGAUUUGCGUAUAUUGAAGAAUCCUUGCAUCCCUGGGAUAAAUCCCACUUGAUCAUGGUGUAUGAUCCUUUUAAUAUGUUGUUGGAUUCUGUUUGCUAGCAUUUUGUUAAGGAUUUUUGCAUCUAUAUUCAUCAGUGAUAUUGGUCUGUAAUUUUCUUUUUCGUAGUAUCUUUGUCUGGUUUUGGUAUCAGGGUGAUGGUGGCCUCAUAGAAUGCAUUUGGGAGUGUUCCUUCCUCUGCAGUUUUUUGGAAGAGUUUGAGAAGGAUGGGUAUUAGCUCUUCUCUAAAUGUUUGAUAGAAUUCACCUGUGAAGCUAUCUGGUCCUGGACUUUUGUUUGUUGGAAGAUUUUUAAUCAGUUUCAAUUUCAUUACUUGUGAUUGGUUUGUUCAUAUUUUCUAUUUCUUCCUGGUUCAGUCUUGGAAGGUUAUACCUUUCUAAGAAUUUGUCCAUUUCUUCCAGGUUGUCCAUUUUAUUGGCAUAAAGUUGAUUGUAGUAAUCUCUCAUGAUUCUUUGUAUUUCUGUAGUUUCAGUUGUUACCUCUCCUUUUUCAUUUCUAAUUCUGUUGUUUUGGGUCUUCUCUCUUUUUCUCUUGAUGAGUCUGGCUAAUGGUUUAUCAAUUUUGCUUAUCUUCUCAACUAGUUUUUAGUUUUAUUGAUCUUUGCUACAGUUUCCUUCAUGUCUUUUUCAUUUAUUUCUGAUCUGAUCUUUUUGAUUUCUUUCCUUCUGCUAACUUUGGGAAUUUUUUGUUCUUCUUUCUCUGAUUGCUUUAGGUGUAAGGUUAGGUUGUUUAUUUGAGAUGUUUCUUGCUUCUUGAUGUAGGAUUGUACUGCUAUAGACUUACCUCUUAGAACUGCUUUUGCUGUAUCCUAUAGGUGUUAGGUUGUCAUGUUUUCAUUGUCAUUUGUUUCUAGGUAUUUUUUGAUUUCCUCUUUGAUUUCUUCAGUGAUCUCUUCGUUAUUUAGUAGUGUAUUGUUUAGCCUCCAUGUGUUUGUAUUUUUUACAGAUUUUUUUUUCCUGUAAAUGAUAUGUUGUCUCAUAGCGUUGUGGUCGGAAAAGAUACUUGAUACAAUUUCAGUUUUCUUAAAUUUACCAAGGCUUGAUUUGUGACCCAAGAUAUGAUCUAUCCUGGAGAGUGUUUAUGAGCACUUGAGAAGAAAGUACAAUCUGCUGUUUUUGGAUGGAAUGUCCUAUAAAUAUCAAUUAAGUCCAUCUUGUUUAAUGUAUCAUUUAAAGCUUUUGUUUCCUUAUUUAUUUUCAUUUUGGAUGAUGUCUCCAUUGGUGAAAGUGGGGUGUUAACGUCCCCUACUAUGGUUGUGUUACUGUUGAUUUCCCCUUUUAUGGCUGUUAGCAUUUGACUUAUGUAUUGAGGUGCUCCAAUGUUGAGAGCAUAAGUAUUUAGAAUUGUUAUAUCUUCUUCUUGGAUUGCUCCCUUGAUCAUUAUGUAUUGUCCUUCUUUGUCUCUUGUAAUAGUCUUUAUUUUAAAGUCUAUUUUGUCUGAUAUGAGAAUUUCUACUCCAGCUAUCUUUUGAUUUCCAUUUGCAUGGAAUAUGUUUUUCCAUCCCCUCACUUUCAGUCUGUAUGUGUCCCUAGGUCUGAAGUGGGUCUCUUGUAGACAGCAUAUGUAUGGGUCUUGUUUUUGUAUCCAUUCAGCCUGUCUAUGUCUUUUGGUUGGAGGAUUUAAUCCAUUUACAUUUAAGGUAGUUAUCAAUAUGUAUGUUCCUAUUACCAUUUUCUUAACUGGUUCGGGUUUGUUCUUGUAAGACUUUUCCUUCUCUACGCCUCUUCCUUCUCUUGUGUUUCCUGCCUAGAGAAGUUCCUUUAGCAUUUGUUGUAGAGCUGGUUUGGUGUUGCUGAAUUCUCUUAGCUUUUGCUUAUCUGUAAAGAUUUUAAUUUCUCCAUCAAAUAUGAAUGAAGUCUUUGCUGGGUAGAGUAAUCUUGGUUGUAGGUUUUUCUCUUUCAUCACUUUAUAUAUGUCCUGCCACUCCCUUCUGGCUUGCAGAAUUUCUGCUGAAAGAUCAGCUGUUAACCUCAUGAGGAUUCCCUUGUAUGUUCAUUUUUGCCUUUCCCUUGCUGCUUGUAAUUUUUUUUUCUUGUAUUUACUUUUUGAUAGUUUGAUUAAUAUGUGUCUUGGUGUGUUUCUCCUUGGAUUUAUUCUGUAUGGGAGUGUCUGUGCUUCCUGGACUUGAUUGAUUAUUUCCUUACCCAUAUUAGGGAAGUUUUUGACUAUAAUCUCUUCAAAUAUUUUCUCAGUCCCUUUCUUUUUCUCUUCUUCUUCUGGGACCCCUAUAAUUCGAAUGUUGGUGUGUUUAAUGUUGUCCCAGAUCUCUCUGAGACUGUCCUCAAUUCUUUUCAUUCUUUUUUCUUUAUUCUGCUCUGCAGUAGUUACUGCCAGUAUUUUAUCUCCCAGGUCACUUAUCCGUUCUUCUGCCUCAGUUUUUCUGCUCUUGAUUACUUGUAGAGAAUUUUAAAUUUGAUUUAUUAUGUUGUUCAUCAUUGUUUGUUUGCUGUUUCGUUCUUCUAGGUCCUUGUUAAACAUUUGUUGUAUUUUCUCCAGUCUAUUUCCAAGAUUUUGGAUCAUCUUUACUAUCAUUAUUCUGAAUUCUUUUGCAGGUAGACUGCCUAUUUCCUCUUCAUUUGUUUGGUCUGGUGGGUUUUUACCUUUGUCCUUCAUCUGCUGUGUAUUCUUCUGUCUUCUCAUUUUGCUUAACUUACUGUGUUUGGGGUCUCUGUGUCGCAGGCUGCAGGUUCGUAGUUUCCGUUGUUUUUGGUGUCUGCCCCCAGUGGGUAAGGUUGGUUCAGUGGGUUGUGUAGGCUUCCUGGUGGAAGGAACUGGUGCCUAUGUUCUGGUGGAUGAGGCUGGAUCUUGUCUUUCUGGUGGGCAGGACUGCAUCCGGUGGUGUGUUUUGGGGUGUUUUUGACCUUACUAUGAUUUUAGGCAGCCUCUCUGCUAAUGGUGGGUUUGUGUUCCUUUCUUGCUAGUUGUUUGGCACACGGUGCCCAGCACUGUAGCUUUUUGGUUGUUGAGUGGAGCUGGGUCUUAGUGCUCAGAUGGAGAUCUCUGAGAGAGCUUUCACUGUUUGAUAUUACAUGGGGCCAGGAGGUAUCCGGUGGAGUAGUGUCCUGAACUUGGUCUCCCACUUCAGAGGCUCAGGCUGGACACCUGACCAGAGCACCAAGAUCCUGUCAGCCACACAGCUCAGAAGAAAAGCGAGAAAAAGAAAGAGAGAGAAAGAGAGAGAGAGAGAGAGAAAGAUAAAUAAAAUAAAAUAAAGUUAUUAAAGUAGAAAAAAAUUGUUAAAAAUGAAAUAUAAUUUAAAAAAAGAAAGAAGAGAGCAACCAAACCAAAAAUCAAA